UGGCUCAGAUUGAACGCUGGCGGCAGGCCUAACACAUGCAAGUCGAACGGUAACAGGAAGCAGCUUGCUGCUUUGCUGACGAGUGGCGGACGGGUGAGUAAUGUCUGGGAAACUGCCUGAUGGAGGGGGAUAACUACUGGAAACGGUGGCUAAUACCGCAUAACGUCGCAAGACCAAAGAGGGGAACCUUCGGGCCUCUUGCCAUCAGAUGUGCCCAGAUGGGAUUAGCUUGUUGGUGAGGUAACGGCUCACCAAGGCGACGAUCCCUAGCUGGUCUGAGAGGAUGACCAGCCACACUGGAACUGAGACACGGUCCAGACUCCUACGGGAGGCAGCAGUGGGGAAUAUUGCACAAUGGGCGCAAGCCUGAUGCAGCCAUGCCGCGUGUAUGAAGAAGGCCUUCGGGUUGUAAAGUACUUUCAGCGGGGAGGAAGGUGUUGCGGCUAAUAACCGCAGCAAUUGACGUUACCCGCAGAAGAAGCACCGGCUAACUCCGUGCCAGCAGCCGCGGUAAUACGGAGGGUGCAAGCGUUAAUCGGAAUUACUGGGCGUAAAGCGCACGCAGGCGGUCUGUCAAGUCGGAUGUGAAAUCCCCGGGCUCAACCUGGGAACUGCAUUCGAGACUGGCAGGCUUGAGUCUUGUAGAGGGGGGUAGAAUUCCAGGUGUAGCGGUGAAAUGCGUAGAGAUCUGGAGGAAUACCGGUGGCGAAGGCGGCCCCCUGGACAAAGACUGACGCUCAGGUGCGAAAGCGUGGGGAGCAAACAGGAUUAGAUACCCUGGUAGUCCACGCCGUAAACGAUGUCUACUUGGAGGUUGUGCCCUUGAGGCGUGGCUUCCGGAGCUAACGCGUUAAGUAGACCGCCUGGGGAGUACGGCCGCAAGGUUAAAACUCAAAUGAAUUGACGGGGGCCCGCACAAGCGGUGGAGCAUGUGGUUUAAUUCGAUGCAACGCGAAGAACCUUACCUGGUCUUGACAUCCACAGAAGAAUCCAGAGAUGGAUUUGUGCCUUCGGGAACUGUGAGACAGGUGCUGCAUGGCUGUCGUCAGCUCGUGUUGUGAAAUGUUGGGUUAAGUCCCGCAACGAGCGCAACCCUUAUCCUUUGUUGCCAGCGAUUAGGUCGGGAACUCAAAGGAGACUGCCAGUGAUAAACUGGAGGAAGGUGGGGAUGACGUCAAGUCAUCAUGGCCCUUACGACCAGGGCUACACACGUGCUACAAUGGCGCAUACAAAGAGAAGCGACCUCGCGAGAGCAAGCGGACCUCAUAAAGUGCGUCGUAGUCCGGAUUGGAGUCUGCAACUCGACUCCAUGAAGUCGGAAUCGCUAGUAAUCGUGGAUCAGAAUGCCACGGUGAAUACGUUCCCGGGCCUUGUACACACCGCCCGUCACACCAUGGGAGUGGGUUGCAAAAGAAGUAGGUAGCUUAACCUUCGGGAGGGCGCUUACCACUUUGUGAUUCAUGACUGGGGUGAAGUCGUA
rnacentral:rRNA from 1 species